GACGAACGCUGGCGGCGUGCUUAACACAUGCAAGUCGAACGGAAAGGCCCUGCUUGCAGGGUACUCGAGUGGCGAACGGGUGAGUAACACGUGGGUGAUCUGCCCUGCACUUCGGGAUAAGCCUGGGAAACUGGGUCUAAUACCGGAUAGGAGCCAUUUUUAGUGUGAUGGUUGGAAAGUUUUUUCGGUGUGGGAUGAGCUCGCGGCCUAUCAGCUUGUUGGUGGGGUAAUGGCCUACCAAGGCGGCGACGGGUAGCCGGCCUGGGAGGGGGGACGGCCACAUUGGGACUGGGAUACGGCCCAGACUCCUACGGGAGGCAGCAGUGGGGAAUAUUGCACAAUGGGCGCAAGCCUGAUGCAGCGACGCCGCGGGGGGGAUGACGGCCUUCGGGUUGUAAACUCCUUUCGCUAGGGACGAAGCUUUUUGUGACGGUACCUAGAGAAGAAGCACCGGCUAACUACGUG
rnacentral:rRNA from 1 species